rnacentral:rRNA from 1 species
UACAGAGGGUGCAAGCGUUGUUCGGAAUUACUGGCGUAAAGCGCGUGUAGGCUGCGAUGUAAGUCAGGUGUGAAAGCCCUCAGCUUAACUGAGGAAGUGCACUUGAUACUGUGUCGCUUGAGUGUCGGAGGGGGUGGCGGAAUUCCCGGUGUAGAGGUGAAAUUCGUAGAUAUCGGGAGGAACACCUGUGGCGAAGGCGGCCACCUGGACGGACAACUGACGCUGAGACGCGAAAGCGUGGGUAGCAAACAGG